rnacentral:rRNA from 1 species
CCUACGGGUGGCAGCAGUGAGGAAUAUUGGUCAAUGGACGAGAGUCUGAACCAGCCAAGUAGCGUGAAGGAUGACUGCCCUAUGGGUUGUAAACUUCUUUUAUAUGGGAAUAAAAUGUUCCACGUGUGGGAUUUUGUAUGUACCAUAUGAAUAAGGAUCGGCUAACUCCGUGCCAGCAGCCGCGGUAAUACGGAGGAUCCGAGCGUUAUCCGGAUUUAUUGGGUUUAAAGGGAGCGUAGGUGGAUUGUUAAGUCAGUUGUGAAAGUUUGCGGCUCAACCGUAAAAUUGCAGUUGAAACUGGCAGUCUUGAGUACAGUAGAGGUGGGCGGAAUGCGUGGUGUAGCGGUGAAAUGCUUAGAUAUCACGCAGAACUCCGAUUGCGAAGGCAGUUCACUGGACUGCAACUGACACUGAGGCUCGAAAGUGUGGGUAUCAAACAGGAUUAGAUACCCGGGUAGUC